rnacentral:tRNA from 1 species
GAGGGCAUAGCUCAGUGGUAGAGUGUGUGCUUAGCAUGCACAAGGUCUUGGGUUCAAUCCCCAGUGCCUCCA